UGCCAGACUCCUACGGGAGGCAGCAGUAGGGAAUUUUCGUCAAUGGGCGCAAGCCUGAACGAGCGAUGCCGCGUGAGUGAAGAAGGCCUUCGGGUCGUAAAGCUCUGUUGCGGGGGAAAAAAGGCAGCAUCAGGAAAUGGGUGCUGACUGAUGGUGCCCCGCCAGAAAGUCACGGCUAACUACGUGCCAGCAGCCGCGGUAAUACGUAGGUGGCGAGCGUUAUCCGGAUUUAUUGGGUUUAAAGGGUGCGCAGGCGGCACGGCAAGCCGGCGGUCAAAUCGCGGGGCUCAACCCCGCCCAGCCGUCGGAACUGCCGGGCUAGAGUGGGCGAGAAGUGCGCGGAAUGCGUGGUGUAGCGGUGAAAUGCAUAGAUAUCACGCAGAACUCCGAUUGCGAAGGCAGCGCACCGGCGCCCUACUGACGCUCAGGCACGAAAGCGUGGGUAUCGAACAGGAUUAGAUACCCGAGUAUG
rnacentral:rRNA from 1 species